rnacentral:rRNA from 1 species
UCUUAUUGAAAUUUUAUAAUAGGUUUGCCCUGCCCAAUGAAUUUGAUUUUUAAAUGGCCGCAGUAAAUUGACUGUGCAAAGGUAGCAUAAUAAUUUGUCUUUUAAUUGGAGACUGGAAUGAAAGGGUUGACGUGAAAGUGACUGUCUCUAUUUUUAUAGCUAUUGAAUUUUACUUUUAAGUUAAAAGGCUAAGUUUUUAAAUUUUAUUAAGGGACGAAAAGUCCCUAUCAAGUUUAAUAAAUUUUAUAUUUUAUAUUCAUUAUAUUUUAUAAAUUAUUAUUUUUCUGGGGCGGAAAGAAUAAUUUAACUUUUUUAAAUUUUUAAAUAAUUUAUAAAUUUAUUAUUGAUCUUUUUAUAUUGCUAAUUGUAUAAAUUACUGUAGGGGUAACAGCGUUAUUAUUUUAGGAAGUUCAUAUUUAUAAAAUAGAUUGCGACCUCGAUGUUGGGUUAAUUUUACCUUAUAAUGAAGAAGUUAUUUCGGUUAGUCUG